UUCCUACGGGCGGCAGCAGUGAGGAAUCUUGCGCAAUGGGGGAAACCCUGACGCAGCCACGCCGCGUGGGUGAAGAAGGCCUUCGGGUCGUAAAGCCCUGUCAGGUGGGAAGAACCGCAAGGGAACGAAAAAGUCCUUUGCCUGACGGUACCACCAAAGGAAGCACCGGCUAACUCCGUGCCAGCAGCCGCGGUAAUACGGAGGGUGCAAGCGUUGUUCGGAAUUACUGGGCGUAAAGCGCGUGUAGGCGGCCAAGUAAGUCGAAUGUGAAAUCCCUCGGCUCAACCGAGGAAGUGCAUCCGAAACUGCUUGGCUUGAGUCCCGGAGAGGGAUGUGGAAUUCCCGGUGUAGAGGUGAAAUUCGUAGAUAUCGGGAGGAACAUCAGUGGCGAAGGCGACAUCCUGGACGGUGACUGACGCUAAGACGCGAAAGCGUGGGUAGCAAACAGGAUUAGAUACCCCGGUAGUCG
rnacentral:rRNA from 1 species